GCCUCGGUAGCGCAGUAGGUAGCGCGUCAGUCUCAUAAUCUGAAGGUUGUGAGUUCGAUCCUCACCCGGGGCA
rnacentral:tRNA from 1 species